rnacentral:lncRNA from 1 species
CUCAAAGAUUUUCUCAUAUUCUCUUUCCUAUGCUCCCUAAUCGAUCUUCUUCUUCUUCUCCCAUCAAUUUUUCUAGAUGAAAAGCUCCCUUCACCUUCUGCUUCACUACAUGUGCUAGAUAUAUUCACUACUCCUUCAAUGUCCGAUUUUUUAUGUCUUCUACGUCUUCUAGGUGUAAGAAGAAGUUGCUGAAGCUUGAAACAGAGGAAAGUGCAACAGCAAUCUAA